rnacentral:misc_RNA from 1 species
UCGCAGGGUCGACCAUGGCGAUACAGAGCCAAGGAGCCGACCACUUUCUGGCCGGAAUAUUCGCGCUCUGCCCCGGAGGUUCCACUGCCAAUGAAUGCAGGCAGCUCCCCAUGGUCCAUUGUGCUCGGAGUUGAACGCUGAAGAGACGACAGCUCACGUGACCAAGACUGGUUGCUUCAUCAUCACUAGAGAACAGCAUGCCACUCGGGCAUCUUCGCAUUUACUUUAUUGCUUCCCUGCUGGCGGCUGGAGCAGUGUGCAUGGUCUCGGCGCGGAGGAACCCGUACGAAAAGGCUCCCGGCACGUGCCGUAUGGAAAGCCAGGUGUACCUGGAGCCGCACGUAUUCAGCAGACUGACGUCUGCGCGUUGCUACAAGUACAUGCCCAGCCUGGCCUUCAAGAAUGCCUCCAGGCUCACGUAUUGCCGCAAAGGUUGGCUCUGUCGAGGCGAAUGCGACGGCGAGUGCUUCCAGCCGUACGGCAACGACAGCGACGUUCAGGUCCUAGAGACCUUCAAGAAGGGGCUCUACGCUGACCGCUGGAAGAGCUGCUGCCGGGCGGCGCGCGAUUGCUGCCAGGAGAUGAUCGCCGACGACCAGGCCGGACUGAGCGCGACAAAAGAUGGACUUCACUGUCCCGCCACAUGGGACGGCUGGACAUGCUACAAGGACACUCCUGCCGGGACAACCGUACAGAAGCCAUGCCCCGCGCAUGCAUACUUCAUCACCGAGACGCCACAGUGCAUCAAAAUGUCGAAGAAAACCUGCUGGGAGAACGGCACGUGGUUCUACAGCCAAGAGUAUGGCAAGGAGUACACCUUCUACGACUGCGGCUCACUCGAGUACCACCGCUCCAUGACCAUCUUCUCCAUCGUGCUCCAUUCCCUGUCGGUCGUCGUCUUGGUGCCUGCAAUAGCCAUCUUCUCUGUCUACAAGCAACUGCAAGUUCACCGAAUUUCGCUGCACAAGAAUUUUUGCGUCGCUAUGGUGCUGUACGACAUCAGCGUCAUCCUUGUCGACGCUGUUUUCAUACUGGACCACGUCAGCGAGGAGAAAAACAUACGAGUCAACGAGAACCCGAACCUGUGCAAGGUGCUGUACACCCUCUCUCGCUACUUCCGGCUGUGCCAGUACGCUUGGAUGUUCUGCGAGGGCUUCUACCUGCACAAGCUGAUCGCCUCCGCAUUCGCCGAACAGAAGUCGCUGCUAGUCUUCUACGUCAUCGGUUGGGGUUGUCCCGCUAUUUUCGUCAGCAUCAGCGCCGUCCUCCGAGCAGUGCGGAUUGGACACCCAGAUGACUCUAGUUGCUGGAUGGAUAACGUCGAAGGAUACAACUGGAUCACUCUGGCUCCGGGUCUCUUCUGCCUGUUUGCAAACUUCGUUUUUCUGUGCAACAUCAUCCGCGUCCUUGUCACCAAGCUUAGGAGUACCCACGCAAACGAGCCUAGCCAGUUUCGGAAAGCCGUACGUGCUGUGCUGGUGCUGUUCCCCUUAUUCGGCAUGCACUUUCUGAUGACGGUAUACCGGAGCCCAGCUAACUGUGGAGCCUGGGAGAUCUACCAGUACAUCAGCAAAGCAUCCGACGGUCUGCAGGGAUUUUUCGUGGCUGUGAUAUUCUGUUAUCUCAACGGAGAGAUUCAGGGCCAAAUCACGCGGUCCAUCGAGCUCGUGAAAUUGGAGUCUUCACUGGCCAGGGCGAGCGACCGGCGGCGUUCUACGCGCACCCAGGUCCUAGCUUGCUGAGUGGGGGGCCUCAGCAUUGCUUGCCCUCCGUCCCGUCGCCGACAGGACGUCGCUGCUGCCGGCGAAACGUGCACGGCGUUGUCCAUGUCUCUCUGCCGUGCCCCGUGCUGUACCUGUUGAGGCGCUCGUACGGUCGCUACCGGCUACAGCGGGGCUUCUCAAGCCGCAGGGGCAACAGCCUCGCCAUGACCCGCAUGUCCGUGUCAACGCACGUCACAUCGCUUGGCGACUCACUCAACCCCAACAACGGCUCCGUCAAGAAGUACAGCGGCGUACGCAACGGCGACACUGCACCCGAAGAACAGCCCUUGAACUGAGCCGCCUUCUUUCAGUGUCGAGCGCUGCAACCGUAUAAACUAUCCGGCAGCAGCCAAGUCGGUGCUCUGUUUCUCGCCAU